rnacentral:rRNA from 1 species
GGUGAACGCUGGCGGCGUGCUUAAGACAUGCAAGUCGAACGGCAGUCUUCGGACUGUAGUGGCGCACGGGUGAGUAACGCGUAACUGACCUACCCCAAAGUCGCGGAUAACGAUUCGAAAGAAUCGCUAAUACGUGAUGUGCUGUCAGAUUGUGUUCUGCCAGUAAAGAUUGAUUGCUUUGGGAUGGGGUUGCGUUCCAUCAGCUAGUUGGUGGGGUAAAGGCCCACCAAGGCGACGACGGAUAGCCGGCCUGAGAGGGUGGCCGGCCACAGGGGAACUGGGACACGGGUCCCACUCCUACGGGAGGCAGCAGUUAGGAAUCUUCCACAAUGGGCGAAAGCCUGAUGGAGCGACGCCGCGUGAGGGAUGAAGGUCUUCGGAUCGUAAACCUCUGAAUCAGGGACGAAAGACACUUCGGUGGGAUGACGGUACCUGAGUAAUAGCACCGGCUAACUCCGUGCCAGCAGCCGCUGUAACAC